CUGUCAGCUAUCAUGAGUGAAACUUCUAAACCCUCAGAGAUGUUGGGUGUAAACGGUUCUUGUUGAGUUUUGUUUGAGACAAAAAAAAAGGAUUAGCCUUUUCUUUUCACUGAUUCAGUCAUGGUUCAGCAAGAUCCUGGUAUAUAUAGUACUGUUAUCAGAGUUCCAUAUGUUGCAUGUUAAUCAUCAUAUCUCUUUCUUUACUGUAGGUUUACAGAGUUUCAGAUAUGGAACUCGUGAAAGUACUUCCAAGUGCAUAUGAUGAGGUCAAUGCUUGCUUUCAUCCGUUUGCUGGUGGUGAUCUGGCUUAUGGAACCAAGGAAGGGAAGCUUAGAGUCCUUCAGUUUAAUAGUGUCCAAGGUGGAAACUGCUUUACAGAGGAAAAUAUGGCUGUCCUGGUAUAGUGAGCGAGGCUGUGUUACAUUCUUCAUUUAUAUAUUUCUUGACUCAUCUACCAUGAAAUACUCGUGCAUGGAAAACAAUUGCGAGAAGGAGCUAACAUAUCUAUCAAGUUGUCCUCUACGGUAUUGAAUCAUCAAAUUGCUAUACUCGUGCUCGUAGAACAACUCUAUAGAUCAUGGACCAUUCUAAAAGGACAGAACUAUCAUCGGUAGAUUUCUUCUCCUCACCCUGUAAACAUCUAUAUAGGUAAAAGUAUGUGAUAUCCUGACCAGGGGAGCAUUGGUUCAGACUCAGAGAUAUAUACAGACGCUCAACCACGUCAAUAUAAAAGAUCAAGAUGUAGAGUUCUCAUUCUUUAUCGGCAGCAGACGAUCAUAUCCUUCAGCCUGGUUCAGCUGCCCUGUAUCAUAUCCCAGAUUCCCAUUCAUUCACUUAUGCCGUAGGCUUUUGUUCUUGCUCUUGUAUAUUGAACACUCGUAUCAAUCACCGAGUUUCACAAGUGUUGGUUUCUCCAAAUUUUACCUCCACAUUGAGCACGAGGAGUUUCA